GACGGAGCAACGCCGCGUGAGUGAUGAAGGUCUUCGGAUCGUAAAACUCUGUUGUUAGGGAAGAACAAAUUUGUUAGUAACUGAACAAGUCUUGACGUACCUAACCAGAAAGCCACGGCUAACUACGUGCCAGCAGCCGCGGUAAUACGUAGGUGGCAAGCGUUAUCCGGAAUUAUUGGGCGUAAAGCGCGCGUAGGCGGUUUCUUAAGUCUGAUGUGAAAGCCCACGGCUCAACCGUGGAGGGUCAUUGGAAACUGGG
rnacentral:rRNA from 1 species